rnacentral:rRNA from 1 species
CGGACGGGUGAGUAAUGCCUAGGAAUCUGCCUGGUAGUGGGGGACAACGUUUCGAAAGGAACGCUAAUACCGCAUACGUCCUACGGGAGAAAGCAGGGGACCUUCGGGCCUUGCGCUAUCAGAUGAGCCUAGGUCGGAUUAGCUAGUUGGUGAGGUAAUGGCCCACCAAGGCGACGAUCCGUAACUGGUCUGAGAGGAUGAUCAGUCACACUGGAACUGAGACACGGUCCAG